rnacentral:sRNA from 1 species
UUCGGGCCAAUUUGAGGCCAUUUCUUCUCACCCGGCUUUAGACACUUGCUAUUUAUUGCCGUUCCUGUUAUCCUUAUUAAGAAUUAUUUUUGUUCGGAUAUUAAGAUCGAAUACGUUUCAGCUUGAUAUUUUUAGAGCAAGAAUAGUAACACGUUUGUGCGUCAUGCACUAGGAGGUAACAAAAUGUUAGAAGGUACAGUUAAGUGGUUUAAUGCAGAAAAAGGUUUCGGUUUCAUCGAGCGCGAAGAUGGCGACGACGUAUUCGUACAUUUCUCCGCUAUCCAAGGCGACGGUUUCAAAACUCUAGAAGAAGGCCAAAAAGUUACAUUUGAAAUCGUUCAAGGUAACCGUGGCGAUCAAGCUGCUAACGUAGAAAAAGCAUAAGUUUCACCCAUAUAAAAAGACUCCUGCAAGCAGGAGUCUUUUUU